rnacentral:lncRNA from 1 species
GAGGCCUGCUAUCAACCAGACCCUGGCAGAGGUGAUCACGGAACAAGCCAACCUCAGCGUCAGCGCUGCCCACUCUUCCAAAGUCCUCUAUGUCAUCACCUCCAGCCCCAGCCACCCACCGCAGACCGUCCCAGGAUGGACCGUGUAUGGCCUGGCCACCCUCCUCAUCCUCACAGUCACAGCCGUUGUGGCAAAGAUCCUUCUGCACGUGACGUUUAAAUCUCAUCGAGUUACUGCUUCAGGAGACCUUAGGGACUGUCGCCAGCCUGGGACUUCUGGGGAGAUCUGGACCAUUUUCUAUGAACCCUCCACUACAAUCUCUAUCUUUAAGAAGAAGCUCAAGGGUCAGAGUCAACAAGAUGACCGUAACCCCCUCGUGAGUGACUGAAGCCUGGCCACACCUGGAUGGGAGGCUCCACUCCAAGCUCCAGCUUGCUGGGACCCCUCCCCCUGAGGUUUCCUCAGAACUCCCUGCCCCUCCAGUCACCUCCAUCUCUUUUGGGGGCACCCUGUUGCCGAGGCAGCACAGCAUGGGGUCCUCCAUCACCUUCUCUACCCUAGCUGCCCUGCAUCUCUGUCCCCACCGGGGAUGCUAAGACUGGGGCUGGGCUGACAGGACGCAGCUGGGCCUGGUUCUCGAAGACUCCUGGGUGGCGGGUAGGCAUAGUGUAUGAUGAGUUUUCUUGCUUCUUCUCUAUUUUGUCUGCAUACAGAUCAGUUCCCCCUGGUCCUUACAGUUUGGAACAGAGCCAGACUAAAAGACUUCUCAGGUUUUCUUAAAGGCUGACCUGGUUCCCCUCCAAGUUUGUUCUCACAAGGGAUAGCACCCUGGAUUAGAGCUUUCUCUGGUGCCGAUUAAGGUAUGUCGUCUAGUCUGAGAGGACUGAGACAGGGCCACACCAGGUGUCUUCUUCCUAGAGGGGUCUUUUCAAUACCCAAUGUCGUAUGGGGCAAGCCUGAUCCAUGGGACAGACACAGUGAACUUCUUGUGUACUAGACUUAACUAGCCUGACCCUUAAGCAGUUCCCAAUCCUGUGGAAUCUGAAUUCAGCCUGUCUUCCUCCUUCAGAGUCAGGAGUUUGAGGACUAGCACAGAGCGGGCCGUAGAGCAGUGGUAGGGAGCUUGCCUUGCAUCCUUCAGGCCCUGGCUCUAUCCCAGUGCUGCCAGAAAGGGGGUAGAGAAAGGACGGCAGCAUAGCAUGCGAGGAGCAUCUAUGGCUCCUACACAAGGCUUUAAAAGAAGGUCAAAACUACCAAGAGCUUUGUCCUUUGCCCCUUCAUGGGGACAGAGUAGUUAGAAGUAAGGGCUCUUGUCGUGCCCAUUGUCCCUUAGACAGGGAGGCAGACUACAGCAUUGGCAGGAAAAGGCCAGGCCUGGGAACUGGAGAUCUCCCAGGAGAGGUUAAAAGAUUGAGAGCCCCAGCUGCAGUCUAAGGGGAAGGGCUAUCCCUGACCGCAAAGUCCUGCAGUCUGGAGUGGCCUUUGUCAGCACAGCUGAGAAAAACAGCCUGUGCCCUGAAGGUGGACCUUGGUCACUCUCCUGCCAGCCCUUGAGCCUCUGCUCUCCUGGGUGUCCUCCUGGAAUACUAAGCUCACCUUCCCUGAGUCUCUCAGCCACUGCCACUGAGGUCUUUCGUAGGGUUUGGGCAUCUCAUCUCCAGCUAUGCCCCCAGGACUAUAUGGACAGCAUCUGGGAAGCAUCCUCAAGGAGAGGCAGCAGAGUGCAGACAAGGCAGUGACCAGAGCUGAUGGCUAGAGAGGCAACCAGAGGAGGAACACUGGGUCUCUACAGUGGGCUGAGAGGCUGGCCCAGCUCCUAUGGGAGGCCUGCAGGGGUACAGAGCUACUGGGCUUCGUCAUCUCACUUUGAUCUGGGAAAGGCUGCAGGCUCCUGGCUGUGAAGACCACUGGAAAUUGAGUGACAGGAACAGGUUCCACUCCACAGCAUUUGCAGGCUCUCCCCUGAGAACAAGCGUUGAGUCACAGAGCACCAUGUGCAUAGUACAGAGAGGACGUGGGCUCUUUCCCAGGGAAGGCUCACUGGCCAGGACAUGCUCAGCUCAGGCCACCUCUCGCCUGCCUCUGCAUACCUCGGAGGCAGGAAGCCAAGGCCCAGUGUGGUGGCAGCUGCAGCCCAGGAGCCCUGUAUUGGUGUCCCCAGGAAGGGCAGUGGAUGUGCCCACGCUCCUCCAACAGCAGCAGGGGACAGUGGGAAGGGCUAUAAAUCACCCAGGCCAGACCCAGAAAUGACAUCCACGGUCUGUUAGAACCUGUAGGUGGCCGGUCACAGAGGGCCUUUGUGCUGGUAAACACCCAGCUGGAGUGAACCUGAGGGAGAAGCGCAGACCCUCAGACAUUAGCUAGAAGCAUGGGUGCCUGUGUUCUUCCCUUCCUGUC